UACGUAGGGUGCAAGCGUUGUCCGGAAUUAUUGGGCGUAAAGAGCUCGUAGGCGGUUCGUCGCGUCGGCUGUGAAAACCCGGAGCUCAACUCCGGGCCUGCAGUCGAUACGGGCGGACUAGAGUUCGGCAGGGGAGACUGGAAUUCCUGGUGUAGCGGUGAAAUGCGCAGAUAUCAGGAGGAACACCGGUGGCGAAGGCGGGUCUCUGGGCCAUUACUGACGCUGAGGAGCGAAAGCGUGGGGAGCGAACAGG
rnacentral:rRNA from 1 species